ACCCCGUAUGGAACAACCCGUUACCGACCUCCCCUUCCCGGCUGAGGCCGCCCUCCGCCCCCGACCUCAGCCCCGGCACGGCCGACGCAGUCGGAUAAGCAGAAUCAGACAAACAGCAGCCAGUAACCGGGUCCCUGACGAGGAUUCACUCCAUGAUGCGCAACAGAAAACCAGAGGGAAGUGACAGGAUGGUUUACUGGCCCCGGGAGCCACUGGGAUCCAGCUGGUUCAGCUCAGACUGAUCCAGCAGUUCAAAGUCAUCCCCUUCAGCAUCAGUGUCCAAGUCCAAACUGGCUGCUCUGAGGUGAGUCUUUGCCCCUCUCUGGGGAUUGGUGCUGCGUGAGGAACCUGGCUGAGAGCCUCCUGACAGUGCCAGCUGGAUCAUGCCCCGGGUGACAAAGCCAGCAAUGUUAUUGGUGAGAUUCUGCACCGAUGGCAGCGUGCCAAAUUCCUCCUGCUCGUAUGGGAGCUGCAGAUCCUCUGUCCCUUGUGAGCGGUACGCCAGGCUCGGGAUCCCAAUGCUGGUGUCAUCCUCAUCAUCUAUGCACGUUGCUUCUGGGUUUAUGGAAGGGAAGUCAGGCAGAUCCCUGGCAAAAGAUUCUUCUGGGUCACUGUGACCAUCCAGGUCUGGAAGAGGAGAAAGUGCUUUAACUGCCAGUACUCACCAGCACCCACAGGCCCAGGCAGGAGCUGAGCCAGCACCUCCCCUGGACAGACUGUUGGGAGCUCAGACCACUCUCUUCAACGUUUCCCUCCCCUCAUCCCAAGUGUUCAGAUCCCACUGACCUCCCAGCUCACUCACAAGGAACACUAGUGCUGAAGCAGCCACCUGUGACAGGGGAGCACCAGCACCCACAGCCAGACUGGCAGAGCCAGAUCUGCCUGUGCAGAGCUGCUGUCCUCGCUCAAGCACCACAGGAAUUAAGGAGGAAGUUCAGUUCUGAACAAAACAGGCACUUGCAGCUCAUUUCCAGCAGCAAGGCUGACAUCAAACAGCCAGACUUCAGUAAUGGGAGGUAACACAUCCUCCCUCUAGCCUAUCACACCGGCGCCUGCUUGGCAUUCCACACCUUCCAGAAGCUGUUUCCUCUCACCUUCUGAUCCCUCUGUCAGGGGGGUCUGCCCCCUUGAAAGGUUAAACAUCCCAUUUUCAGUAUAGGAAACCUCAGCAUCUGAAUGCUCAGAGUCGGAGAUGGUCAGUUCCUUGGCAACCAGAGAGUCAUCCAGCUUUGAAAUAGAAGAUAAAAUUGAAAACAUCAGCACUAGAAAGGUUAUCCCCAUGCCUCAAGACAAAACAGAUGAUGGCGCGGCCUCCAGCUAAACCUGGACCCCAUGGGAGACUGGUACCUGAGACUCAUUCACAUUUACUGCACAGGCUAGGAGACUGCAGCUGGCACAAGCAGCUCCGGACAUUCUUUAGUGGAACAGAGUGGGAAAGACCUAUCUGAAGGGACAGCGUCCUCAUCUGCUCUGCUAUCACUCUCAGCUGUGCUGCCAGAUGUGCUGUUCCCAUCUCAGCCAGAUGCUGCAUGUCCCCCCAGUGAGGUUUGUUCUUUCCAGCUGAGCUCUUCCCUCUCCCAGAGGCUCUGUUACCUUGGGGCAGAAUGCAGCCAGCUCCUCUUCGCUGUCACUCCCAUCAUCCAUGGCUUCCUGACCCAGGGCCCGGCCACGCACUGUUAGAAACCACACACAAAGCUGUUACUGCUGCUGGGACAAGGCUCUGUGCAGGACCAGAAAACCCCAAACUGCACAUAACAGAGCAGAGCCAGCUCGUUCCACAGCACAGCCAUGAUCAUUUGCAGGUUUUUUGCUGAAAUGAACAUGUUCAGAACUCCCUCGCACAGAACCUUUCCUCCUUUUUCCAGAAUAGAGAACACACAGUUCUGACAGCCAAGAACUGGAGCAGCUCAGUGCUGUGAAAAGCCCACAGCAGCUGCUUCCUAGGAGAUGGCUGCAGAGGCGGAACUGCCUCUCUCUCUUCCCCAGGCAGUUCCAAGGAUUUGCCAUGACAGACAUGCAGCCCCUACCACGCACUGCACCGAGGCCAGAGCCUCUGUUCACAGCUCGUUCCAGGGAUCAAAGAUCCAGGUGUGAAACCUUGGGGGCAGAAAGGGCACAGGACUCUAUUGGAAUAUUACCAAUACAGCUGGACAGGACGUGCCUGAGCUUGUCUGGCCCUUGCUGCUGAACCAAAUAGUGGCUACUGUGGUAUUUUCACCCCAGAGACACUUUUGGCUAGCUGGGUGCUGCAGCUGGGCACGUGGAGACAAGUCCAGGCAUGCAGGAGCUCUGGUGGUGGUGGGAUGGAGCCUCCUCCCUUAAGAGGGUCUGCUCCUCAGGUUUACCUUGGUGGAGAAGCUUUAAGGUGAUGGUGAAGGAAAGGAGUUGGUUCUGAUGGAGGGUUUCCACCCAGAGCUUUAUUCUGGCCCACAGGCCUCUGAACUCAGCAACAGCUCCAACAGAACUUCCUGACUGCAUGGUUGCUCUUCCUUUUAACCAUGGGGAGAAGGGGAGGGAAGGGGUAGGAAGCCACCAACCAGGUACAGGAGGGGAGGUCUCAAGGGACAAAGGACACCUGGAUGGCCCAAUGCCCCCAGGGGUAGAGGGCAUCCUUUGAAUCUGCCAAUCACUCAAUGCCCUUCUGGAAUUCCAGGAUUGACAGACAGUGCUGGGAGAGGAAAUGAGAGGUGACUGACACACCUGGGAGGGAAUUAUCAGGGGAGGGACCCGAGGUUCUGAGGUAAACCCUGAAAUCACAAGGCAGCAGGACUCACGCUGCCUCUGGCGCUGCCUCGCUGUCACGUAUCCCCGGACGCUGAAGUCCAGCCGCUGCAGCACGGGCUCCAGCCGGUGGUACAUGCGCUGCCCCAGCCUGUGGUACACGGCCAGGGGCCACAGCAGCACCAAGAGCACUGCAGGAAGCAGGAAUGCAGGUUAGAAGGUAUCUCAGGGUGCUGCUUGGCAAACAUCCUGCAUGUUUCCUGAUGCAGCACAACACACUGAGCAUGGCAGAUCUGAACACUGAGGGCAGUGCUGUGGGAGGCUGCUGGAGCAGCUGCCAUCACUAUAGGAGUGUUUCUUGUUGAUGGAGUGACAGAACUAUUUUUUGUCCUUUUAAAAAGGAAAGAAGCCUAGAAGUUUCUCUCGAUUAGGUGAAAAAAGCUGCCUCAUAGGUCUAGGGGACUUCACCUCAAACAUAAGGAUAGCUAAUUGGACAGAAGCCAAAAAGUCCUGCCUGGGCAAUUUAGUAGAAAAAGAAAUUAAGAAACUGCUUUUGUAAGGUGUUUUACCAGGAGCAGGACUUCUGGCACCAGGCUCAGUUUUUCUCUGUUUGUUAUUUUGCCUUUUAUUAAACCUUUUUGCAACAGAA